UACGUAGGGUGCAAGCGUUAAUCGGAAUUACUGGGCGUAAAGCGCGCGCAGGCGGCUUUGCAAGUCAGAUGUGAAAUCCCCGGGCUUAACCUGGGAACUGCAUUUGUGACUGCAUGGCUGGAGUGCGGGAGAGGGGGAUGGAAUUCCGCGUGUAGCAGUGAAAUGCGUAGAUAUGCGGAGGAACACCGAUGGCGAAGGCAAUCCCCUGGGCCUGCACUGACGCUCAUGCACGAAAGCGUGGGGAGCAAACAGG
rnacentral:rRNA from 1 species